GAUGAACGCUGGCGGCGUGCCUAAUACAUGCAAGUCGAGCGAACGGACGAGAAGCUUGCUUCUCUGAUGUUAGCGGCGGACGGGUGAGUAACACGUGGAUAACCUACCUAUAAGACUGGGAUAACUUCGGGAAACCGGAGCUAAUACCGGAUAAUAUUUUGAACCGCAUGGUUCAAAAGUGAAAGACGGUCUUUCUGUCACUUAUAGAUGGAUCCGCGCUGCAUUAGCUAGUUGGUAAGGUAACGGCUUACCAAGGCAACGAUGCAUAGCCGACCUGAGAGGGUGAUCGGCUACACUGGAACUGAGACACGGUCCAGACUCCGACGGGAGGCAGCAGUAGGGAAUCUUCCGCAAUGGGCGAAAGCCUGACGGAGCAACGCCGCGGGAGUGAUGAAGGUCUUCGGAUCGUAAAACUCUGUUAUUAGGGAAGAACAUAUGUGUAAGUAACUGUGAACAUCUUGACGGUACCUAAUCAGAAAGCCACGGCUAACUACGUG
rnacentral:rRNA from 1 species